rnacentral:rRNA from 1 species
UUUGCCCAAUGGGCCCAACCCUGAUGCAACGACCCCCCGUGAGGGAUGACGGCCUUCGGGUUGUAACCUCUUUCAGUAGGGAAGAAGCGAAAGUGACGGUACCUGCAGAAGAAGCGCCGGCUAACUACGUGCCAGCAGCCGCGGUAAUACGUAGGGCGCAAGCGUUAUCCGGAUUUAUUGGGCGUAAAGAGCUCGUAGGCGGUUUGUCGCGUCUGCCGUGAAAGUCCGGGGCUUAACCCCGGAUCUGCGGUGGGUACGGGCAGACUAGAGUGAUGUAGGGGAGACUGGAAUUCCUGGUGUAGCGGUGAAAUGCGCAGAUAUCAGGAGGAACACCGAUGGCGAAGGCAGGUCUCUGGGCAUUAACUGACGCUGAGGAGCGAAAGCAUGGGGAGCGAACAGGAUUAGAUACCCUGGUAGUCCAUGCCGUAAACGUUGGGCACUAGGUGUGGGGAACAUUCCACGUUUUCCGCGCCGUAGCUAACGCAUUAAGUGCCCCGCCUGGGGAGUACGGCCGCAAGGCUAAAACUCAAAGGAAUUGACGGGGGCCCGCACAAGCGGCGGAGCAUGCGGAUUAAUUCGAUGCAACGCGAAGAACCUUACCAAGGCUUGACAUGGACUGGAUCGCCGCAGAGAUGUGGUUUCCCUUCGGGGCUGGUUCACAGGUGGUGCAUGGUUGUCGUCAGCUCGUGUCGUGAGAUGUUGGGUUAAGUCCCGCAACGAGCGCAACCCUCGUUCCAUGUUGCCAGCGGGUUAUGCCGGGGACUCAUGGGAGACUGCCGGGGUCAACUCGGAGGAAGGUGAGGACGACGUCAAAUCAUCAUGCCCCUUAUGUCUUGGGCUUCACGCAUGCUACAAUGGCCGGUACAAAGGGUUGCGAUACUGUGAGGUGGAGCUAAUCCCAAAAAGCCGGUCUCAGUUCGGAUUGGGGUCUGCAACUCGACCCCAUGAAGUCGGAGUCGCUAGUAAUCGCAGAUCAGCAACGCUGCGGUGAAUACGUUCCCGGGCCUUGUACACACCGCCCGUCAAGUCAUGAAAGUUGGUAACACCCGAAGCCGGUGGCCUAACCCCUUGUGGGAGGGAGCCGUCGAAGGUGAUCG